rnacentral:rRNA from 1 species
CCUGAAUCUGGGGGAUAGCCCGCCGAAAGGCGGAUUAAUACCGCAUAAAACUGCAGNUUGGCAUCNAGUAACGGUUAAAGAUUUAUUGGAUUCAGAUGGGGUUGCGUGCCAUUAGCUAGUUGGGGAGGUAACGGCUCACCAAGGCGACGAUGGCUAGGGGAGCUGAGAGGCUGGUCCCCCACACGGGCACUGAGAUACGGGCCCGACUCCUACGGGAGGCAGCAGUAGGGAAUAUUGGGCAAUGGACGAGAGUCUGACCCAGCCAUGCCGCGUGCAGGAUGAAGGCUUUCUGAGUCGUAAACUGCUUUUAUCAGGGAAGAAAAAAGGGNNUGCGNNCUCUACUGACGGUACCUGAUGAAUAAGCACCGGCUAACUCCGUGCCAGCAGCCGCGGUAAUACGGAGGGUGCAAGCGUUGUCCGGAUUUAUUGGGUUUAAAGGGUGCGUAGGCGGUUCUUUAAGUCCGGGGUGAAAGCCCACUGCUCAACAGUGGAACUGCCCUGGAAACUGGNNAACUUGAGUACAGACGAGGGUGGCGGAAUGGAUNCUGUAGCGGUGAAAUGCAUAGAUAGUAUCCAGAACACCGAUUGCGAAGGCAGCUGCCUAGACUGU